GACAGAGGUGCCGAGCGUUAGGCGGAAUCACUGGGCUUAAAGCGUGUGUAGGCGGGCGGGCAAGUACCUUGUGAAAUCCCACGGCUCAACCGUGGAACGGCUGGGUAUACUGCCUGUCUUGAGCCAACUAGGGGCGAGCGGAACAGACGGUGGAGCGGUGAAAUGCGUAGAUAUCGUCUGGAACGCCGAAGGUGAAAACAGCUCGCUGGGGUUGUGCUGACGCUGAGACACGAAAGCCAGGGGAGGCGAACGGG
rnacentral:rRNA from 1 species